rnacentral:rRNA from 1 species
AGAGCGAACGCUGGCGGCAGGCCUAACACAUGCAAGUCGAGCGCCCGUAGCAAUACGGGAGCGGCAGACGGGAUAGUAACACGUGGGAACGCGCCCUUCGGUUCGGAAUAACUCAGGGAAACUUGAGCUAAUACCGGAUACGCCCUUACGGGGAAAGAUUUAUUGCCGAAGGAACGGCCCGCGUCCGAUUAGCUAGUUGGUGAGGUAAUGGCUCACCAAGGCGACGAUCGGUAGCUGGUCUGAGAGGAUGACCAGCAUCACUGGGACUGAGACACGGCCCAGACUCCUACGGGAGGCAGCAGUGGGGAAUAUUGGACAAUGGGCGCAAGCCUGAUCCAGCCAUGCCGCGUGGAUGAUGAAGGCCUUAGGGUUGUAAAGUCCGUUUAACGGGAGAUAUGACGGUACCGUAGAAUAAGCCCCGGCUAACUUCGCGCCAGCAGCCGC